AUUAGACUUUGUGGAGCUCUUUAUUAAGUUAGGGAGGGAUGUAGUGUAUGUCCAUAUAUGGUAUUUCCUUAUUUGGAAGUGACCAUGUGCUUGAAUAGAAGAGACCAUCUAGAAUGGCGGAUUAAAACGUUGUGUUGUCAAAUCCAGUCUCUGUUUGUUCCGCAAACACCACAACUGGAAUUUUGAAAUGUUUUUAACUUCGUGUUUUUGGAUUACGUGAAAGGAAAAUAGCUGCAACGGCUGCAAAACACUAAAAGUUUUAAACACCGGCCGCUCACCGACAACAUCGAUCUGACAAUUCCCAGCUAUUGCCGGACUCCUACCAGAGAGUUGGAGAUGAAGGGUGUUCAAUCUGGAAUGUCUCAGUCAUUGGAAACCUGAGAAGUCGUGAAGCUGCUACAUUGGAAGUUUUACCCCAUGGCAACUAAUGUUUGAAGAAAGGAAAAUGAGAGAACAGAAAUGAGGAAAAGCCAAGUAAAUCACAUAUACUUUUCCAUUCUAUUACCGGUAGCUCAGUUAAGUAUUAUUUAUUUCUGAAAAUAUAAUGCUCAUCUUUUGAGAAAGCCGAGUCAAACUUGCAAAACUAUCCUGGGUGAUGUAAGAAUGAGAGUAGUCCCUCUUUCACUUAGUAUGUAAUGAGUGUACAGGAUAUGGGUGCAAGACCUGACCUACAAAAAGGUUGGUCCAUCCAACAAACUCUCUUCCUGAGCUUCUUGAUCUGUGAAGCAAAGACUGGUCCUACCUUCAAGUGUUUUUUUUUUUACUGCAAUUUUCAACAGUAAAUCUCAGUGCAUAAAAAAUUGUUUAAGAGCCAGGACUGUCUACUUGUACAUGUGGUGGAUAGAUCUUGAGCUUUGUACAGGAGAUUGUUGGAAUACCUGACCUACAAAGGUCUUGGUCCACCCAGCUUCCUGAGCUUCUUGAUCUGUGAAGCAAAGACUGGUCCUACCUUCAAGCUUUUUGUUUGUUUUUUUCUAUGCAAUUUUCAACUGUAGAUCUCAAUGUAUAAAAAUUUGUUUAAGAACCAGGACUGUCUACAUGUACAUGCAUGGAAUGGAUCUUGAGCUUUGUACAGGAGAUGGGUGUAAGACCUGACCUACAAAGGGGUUGGUCCACCCAACAAAAUCUCUUCCUGAGCUUUUUGAUCUGUGAAGCAAAUUCUGCUCCUACACUCAAGUUCUUUUUUUUCUUCAUGCAGUUUUCAACAGUAAAUCUAAGUGCAUAAAAAUUUGUAUAGGAAACAGGACUAUCUACAUGUACAUGUGCUGAGUGGAUCUUGAGCUUUGUACAGGAGAUGGGUGUAAGACCUGACCUACAAAGGGGUUGGUCCACCCAACAAAAUCUCUUCCUGAGCUUCUUGAUCUGUGAAGCAAAUACUGGUCCUACCUUCAAGUGUUUUGUUUGUUUUUUUUUUUCUAUGCAAUUUUCAACUGUAGAUCUCAAUGUAUAAAAAUUUGUUUAAGAACCAGGACUGUCUACAUGUACAUGCAUGGAAUGGAUCUUGAGCUUUGUACAGGAGAUGGGUGUAAGACCUGACCUACAAAGGGGUUGGUCCACCCAACAAAAUCUCUUUCUGAGCUUCUUGAUCUGUGAAGCAAAGACUGGUUGUACCUUCAGGUUUUUUUUUGUUUGUUUUUUUCCAUGCAAUUUUCAACUGUAGAUCUCAGUGCAUGAAAAUUUGUUUAAGAACCAGGACUGUCUACAUGUACAUCUGUGAAUAGAUCUUGAGCUUUGUACAGGAGAUGGGUGUAAGACCUGACCUACAAAGAGGUUAGUUCACCCAACAAAAUCUCUUCCUGAGCCUCUUGAUCUGUGAAGUAAAGACUGGUCCUACCGUCAAGUUUUGUUUUCCUGCAAUUUUCAACAGUAAAUCUCAGUGCAUCAAAUUUUAUUUAGGAACAAGAACUGUCUGCCUGCACUGAAUGGAUCUUGAGCUUUGUACAGGAGAUGGGUGUAAGACCUGACCUACAAAGGGGUUGGUCCACCCAACAAAAUCUCUUCC